rnacentral:rRNA from 1 species
UAGCGGCACUAGCGCGGUGGUCCCACCUGACCCCAUGCCGAACUCAGAAGUGAAACGCCGUAGCGCCGAUGGUAGUGUGGGGUCUCCCCAUGUGAGAGUAGGGAACUGCCAGGCA